ACUAAUGAGCUGUUUUGCAUCCAGCUACGCCUAUGAGGUCUUUUGCCUAUGGGCUAUAGCUAUGAUCUGUUGCUCACACCAUCAACUUUUUUUAUUUUUAAUGGAAGACGUGAUUGUAUAUGGAUUUUAAGUCUGAAAUCGAGUCAUCCUCCCAGUUGAGUAGCUUGGAAGGACAAAAAGGAAAAACAAAAGACAGCGCCGAUUCAUCAGGAAAAGGGAAUGGCCUCAAAUCACUUGUAAGCAAAGAAAAACAAACCAUUUUACCAAGUAAAGAGAUUUUUAUUUGGCUUUUCACUUAAUUGCCUUGCAUGGAAAUAUGUAAUUGAUAGACUUAAUUCAGCUGUAAAUUAUUUUUUUAUUAAUAGAGUUCAUUCAGCCAUAAAUUCCAUUAAAUUUUGAAGGGGGCAAAAAAAAGGUGAGUGUGUAAAUUGUAUAAUGAUAUACCUCCCUUUCAUGGAGCAAAAACAACAGGCUUUUUGUUUGGCCAGAAAUCCUAUAGCCCUAAAGCAGGAACACACAUAAUUAGGAUUGAGAAUUUCAAAACCUGUUUGAUAAAUUGCCCCAACGACCCUCUUAAAGUCCAAAACCCUUCUUUAUUGCCCUCCCUCACUCGGUCAUUAUUUCCAUACUGCGUCAUGUGAACAGUGAUCUACUGAUGGAUACCCAAAUGCCCAAAACUCCAUUGAGGGUAAAAGUGUACCCUGAAUUGACAUCUCCUUUCUAACUCCAUUUUUUUUUCUUGUAUUGAGCGCUUGAUUGGACCAUUUCUUUUGUUGCAUUAGCCAGAGUUAAAAAAAAUUAAAGAAGAGAAAAAAUCUGACAACCCUCUUUUUUAUCUCUUUCCCACUGGCAGGGUUUACCCAUUAAAAAAACUUGGUAAGUUGGGGCACUCAAGGACACAACAGGGAGAGGGGUGCGCCAAAUUCAAAGGCAGUUUUCAGCCUAGACACAAGUCUUGCUAGCCGAAGUGGAUAAAGAAAAACCUUGGGUUGGCGUUAGCAAAUAUGGAAAUCAAGUGGAAUGUCAGAUGUGUCAGUUUCGUGGAUAAACUAAUCAGAUUUUUUUUUUAUAAAGACCCUCCGGAUAAGACUCUAUAGAGAAGAC
rnacentral:lncRNA from 1 species